rnacentral:rRNA from 1 species
AUUGAACGCUGGCGGCAUGCUUUACACAUGCAAGUCGAACGGUAACAGGUCUUCGGAUGCUGACGAGUGGCGAACGGGUGAGUAAUACAUCGGAACGUGCCUAGUAGUGGGGGAUAACUACUCGAAAGAGUAGCUAAUACCGCAUGAGAUCUACGGAUGAAAGCAGGGGACCUUCGGGCCUUGUGCUACUAGAGCGGCUGAUGGCAGAUUAGGUAGUUGGUGGGGUAAAGGCUACCAAGCCUGCGAUCUGUAGCUGGUCUGAGAGGACGACCAGCCACACUGGGACUGAGACACGGCCCAGACUCCUACGGGAGGCAGCAGUGGGGAAUUUUGGACAAUGGGCGAAAGCCUGAUCCAGCAAUGCCGCGUGCAGGAUGAAGGCCCUCGGGUUGUAAACUGCUUUUGUACGGAACGAAAAGCCUGGGGCUAAUAUCCCCGGGUCAUGACGGUACCGUAAGAAUAAGCACCGGCUAACUACGUG